rnacentral:lncRNA from 1 species
UUGCCUAUAUCCCACACUGGCCUUACAUCUGUCCUGUGGUUGAUCCUGGGAGGAAUGAAGCUCAAAGCCCAGCCUAAGGUCAGUGAGAGAUCAGAAGUAAAGGUAGCUCCAUGCCAGGUCCUCUCAUCCUCAUGCCUUAAGACCCUGACCCCGUUGAUACUCAGGACCCCACCUGCCCCCACCUAGAGAACUCUGAGGGGCCUCUCAUGCCCAGAGGAAGCCCUUACCACAGCCUUGGGACAUCCUGCAUUUCCAGCUCCCUUGAUGCCCCAUCAGAACAGAGACCGCAGCAGUCCUCCCGGGGGUCCUGAGGCUGGCUGCAUUGCUGGCCCAGCUGGGACCCUAGCUGAUCCUCCACUCUCAGUCCUUCCCAUGCCGCCUCUGACCCAGAUCAGAGCUCAGACUAGUCAGGACCCUGGGAGCCCUUCUCAAGUCCUACUGGCUCACCUUCAGAAUCUGCCCGCUACCCACCACCUCACACCCACCUGCCUAUCUGCAUCCCUAGCAUCUCUCCAUCUGGCUACCCUGCCCCUGCUCUCAAGCCCCCAUGUCCCCUGGAGCGGCCUGUUCAGAUCUGUUGUGUUGGGUCCCUCCUUUGCUCAGAUUCCCUCCAUAGCUGUCUCUGGAAUCAAAGUAGUAUAUGUCACAGUCCAUAUAGUAGCCAGAGUUCUGAGACCUGCCCUUCCACUCCUUCCCUGAUCUCUCUCCACCCCUACUGGCCUUCUUGUUGCUUCAGACACACUUGUGCACUCUCCUGACUCAGGCCUUUGAAUGUGCUAUUCCACCUGCCUGGAAUCUCUUUUCCCAGAUUCUCAUAUGGCCCCCUCCUUCACCUCCUUUAAAAUCUCUGUGAGAAUUCCCCUCUCCCCCCCCUUUUUUUUUUUUUCUUUUUUGGUACUGGUGAUUAAAACUGGGGCAAGCACUCUACCCACUGAAACACAUCCCCAGCCCUUUUUAUUUAUUUAUUUUAUUUUGAAACAGGGUCUCACUCAAUUGUCCAGGCUGGCUGAACUUGUGAUCUUCCUGCCUCAGCCUCCCAUUCUCUGACUUUUUUUUAUAAAUUUUCCAGUCCUGAUCUGACUCUCCUGAGCUCCUCUGCCUGAUUUUCCUCUUUGCUUAAUGUGUUUUCAACUGUUGAGACACCCUGCUGUUGACUUUCAACCGUUUAGUGGAUAUUGUCUAUCCCCUGCUGGAAUGUCCACUUCUUGAGUGAAAGAUCUUUUGUAUCCCCAGCACAGUUGAAUGCCCAGUACACAGUAAACGCUCAGUGUCUGCUGAAGCAAUGGGUACCCUGCACUGAGCUUUGGGCAGGCACAGAGAGGAUAUCUCUGAAUGAAUGAAUAAACAAAUGGGGUUUACUCCUGGGGAAGGCAAGGCUACACAUCUGCUUUCCCACUCCUCCCAGAACCACCUUUGGGGAGGUGUCAUGGCAUGUGGAGCCCAAGGUCCAGUCAUCCAGCUGACUCAGCAGCUUAAGGGUGUUAGCACUGUCUUUCUCUUCACCAGUGUUUGGGACGGGCCUGAACAAACCUCUUCUAGAUCCUUGCUAUGGUCCCAGCUAGAUAUGGUCCCCUAGAUAAUCCUAGGGGCUUUAGCAGGGGCUGGGAAGAGGCCCCAGGGAUGGGAAACAGCCCUGAGUCAGGAAAAGGUGAAUCACACUCAGCAAUGCCACAUCUCUAACCCUGUCCCACCUGUGACAGGAGCCUCCAUCCAUGUCUCAGAGACACAGGCCUGGCUCCUGCUGAACUCCAAGUCCAGGAGAGACUUUACAAUCGCUGGGUUAUGGCUUGGACAUGAGGUAUCUUCCAAAAGCUCCUGUGUUAAUGCAGGAAUAUUCAGAGGUGGAGUGAUUAGAUCAUGAGCACUGUAACCUAAUGAGCCCAUCCUGGUUUGAAUGAGCCUGACUGGGUGGUAACUAAAGGUAGAUGGGGCAUGGCUACAGGAGGCAGUCACUAGGUUGCACCUGGAAGAGUGCAUCUUCCUUGCAGCCACUUCCCUUUUCUUCUCUCUGCUUCCCAACCCAACUGAGCUGUGAGCUGAACAACUGCCCUCUGUAAGGUCCUUCCCCCAUGAUGUUCUGCUUCAUCGUCGACCCAGAGCAACGAAGUCAGUCAUCUGUGAACCAAGACCUCUGAAACCGUGAGUCAAAAUAAACACUUCCUCUGUUAAGUUGUUCUUAUUGGGUAUUUUGUCACAGCAACACAAAAGCUGAUGAAAACAUCUGGUUAGGACCAGGGAGCCAGCCUCCCAUCUCCGGUAGCCAUCCUACCUCCCUUAGGGGCAGAAAAACCACCAAGUUUGUGGUGAUUUGUUAUAGCAACUACGGGAGACAAAGACACCUAGAUUCCCCCUGUCGUGGUGGAGAUGUGCCUGCCUCUCAGGUGGGGAUCCCAUCAACCUCAGGACUUGUGCCCUCAC